rnacentral:rRNA from 1 species
UACGUAGGGUGCAAGCGUUAAUCGGAAUUACUGGGCGUAAAGCGUGCGCAGGCGGUUAUGCAAGACAGAUGUGAAAUCCCCGGGCUCAACCUGGGAACUGCAUUUGUGACUGCAUGGCUAGAGUGCGGCAGAGGGGGAUGGAAUUCCGCGUGUAGCAGUGAAAUGCGUAGAUAUGCGGAGGAACACUGAUGGCGAAGGUAAUUUCCUGGGUUUGUACUGACGCUCAUGCACGAAAGCGUGGGGAGCAAACAGG